GCCGCGGUGGCGGAACUGGCAGACGCGCUACGUUCAGAGCGUAGUGGCCGCAAGGCUGUGGGAGUUCAAAUCUCCCCCGCGGCA
rnacentral:tRNA from 1 species